GAUGAAGAACGUAGCGAAAUGCGAUAAGUAAUGCGAAUUGCAGAAUUCCAGUGAGUCAUCGAAUCUUUGAACGCACAUUGCGCCCUUUGGUAUUCCGAAGGGCAUGCCUGUUCGAGCGUCAUUAUCACCCCUCAAGCCCUCGGCUUGGUGUUGGACGGUUUGGUGGAGGCCCCCUCGGGGGCUCCUGCCCCUCCCAAAGACAAUGACGGCGGCCUCGUUGGACCCCCGGUACACUGAGUUCUUCACGGGACACGUAUCGGACACAUGGGUUUACGGGACACGGUCUGCCUCCCCUCAGGGUGAAUCUUUCUAAGGUUGACCUCGGAUCAGGUAGGGAUACCCGCUGAACUUAAGCAUAUCAAUAAGCGGAGGA
rnacentral:misc_RNA from 1 species